UAGCUAGCGGCGGACGGGUGAGUAACACGUAGGUAACCUGCCUUUAAGACUGGGAUAACUAUCGGAAACGAUAGCUAAGACCGGAUAACUGGUUUUCUCGCAUGAGAGAAUCAUAAAACACGGAGCAAUCUGUGGCUUAAAGAUGGGCCUGCGGCGCAUUAGCUAGUUGGUGAGGUAACGGCUCACCAAGGCGACGAUGCGUAGCCGACCUGAGAGGGUGAACGGCCACACUGGGACUGAGACACGGCCCAGACUCCUACGGGAGGCAGCAGUAGGGAAUCUUCCGCAAUGGACGCAAGUCUGACGGAGCAACGCCGCGUGAGUGAUGAAGGUUUUCGGAUCGUAAAGCUCUGUUGCCCUAGACGAACAGCAUGAGGAGUAACUGCCUUGUGUGUGACGGUAUAGGAGAAGAAAGCCCCGGCUAACUACGUGCCAGCAGCCGCGGUAAUACGUAGGGGGCAAGCGUUGUCCGGAAUUAUUGGGCGUAAAGCGCGCGCAGGCGGUCAUUUAAGUCUGGUGUUUAAUCCUGGGGCUCAACCCCAGUUCGCAUCGGAAACUGGAUGACUUGAGUGUAAGAGAGGAAAGUGGAAUUCCACGUGUAGCGGUGAAAUGCGUAGAGAUGUGGAGGAACACCAGUGGCGAAGGCGACUUUCUGGCUUAUAACUGACGCUGAGGCGCGAAGCGUGGGGAGCAAACAGGAUAAAUACCCUGGUAGUCACGCCGUAACGAUGCAUACUAGGUGUCGGGGAU
rnacentral:rRNA from 1 species